rnacentral:ncRNA from 2 species
GAGGAAGCCGGUGCGAAUCCGGCGCGGUCCCGCCACUGUGAGCCUUCGGGUGAGCCAGACACUC